UCUGUCCACUUCAGACUAGCCAUAUCCUGUGUGUGGUUGAGGCAACUCCUAAAACAACCAGAAAUCUGCCUGCCACUCACUGUCACACAUUCUUUCAGUCUCAGCUGCAGUCGUGUCUGAGCCAAUUUAGGUGCCGACACUAAAGGCCGCUGACGUCUUGGGAGUGCUGCGUUCGUGACCACUUUCCGUUGGCUGGCUGAGCACGAGAGAGAGUCCGGUUUGCAUGCAGCGUCAGCUAGCAGAAGGACUGGACAUCUAGAGCAAAGCGCCCGGGUCCAAACAGAGGAAACAGUACAUUCACUGCCUGAAGAGGACUAUUCAUGGGUUGCACGUUUCGUCACAAUAUUGUUUUGAACAUUUGUUUUAGGACCGAUGCCCAGCGGAGCGUUCUACUCAAUGCUUUGUCAAUGUGCGCUG